rnacentral:rRNA from 1 species
UACGUAGGGUGCAAGCGUUUAAUCGGAAUUACUGGGCGUAAAGCGUGCGCAGGCGGCUUUGCAAGACAGAUGUGAAAUCCCCGGGCUUAACUUGGGAACUGCAUUUGUGACUGCAUGGCUGGAGUGCGGCAGAGGGGGAUGGAAUUCCGCGUGUAGCAGUGAAAUGCGUAGAUAUGCGGAGGAACACCGAUGGCGAAGGCAAUCCCCUGGGCCUGCACUGACGCUCAUGCACGAAAGCGUGGGGAGCAAACAGG